CAAAGUUCACAUAUCGAUCAUUUACGUCUAUACGAUUUCAUCGAACUUAAUUGAGCCUGGCGGUGGCCCGGGGUCUCUUAACGGAAGCGAAGCCGCUGUAAUCAUCAACUUUUUGUAUUCUUCAUCUUCUUAUUGCGGGUCUGCUUGAUUCCUCUGCAAAUUUGAACGAAAAUGACGGUUUUCCCUGGAAAUCUCUCCCUCAAGAUGACACUUCAGCUUCAGAGCAGGGUCCUCUCCUUCCCAUGAGUUAGGAAGAGUGGGGGCAAUCCAAUGUUUGGGAAGGAGGGACCUUGGUUCUUCCGUUCCUGUCAGGUACGUUCCCAAAGUACCUUCGAAAGGGGACAAGGCUGACAAGCAUGAGAAACCUCAAACUCCACCAGCCAAGAGUCCAGAGAUACGUGAAGCUCGAAGCAUAUCAAAUGCUGAUGCGAUAAGGUCUCAGGUUUAUCGUGAAGGUAAAGGAGAAGCAAUUGUAAAUGGUUUAGUGUUUGCGGAGAUUCGGAGUCCUGUGGACAAGCGGAUGCCAGUCGUCGAUGUUAUCGAUGCUACGCCCGGGUUGGGGCAAGACACCAUUGAGGAUAUCAUUGAGACGAAUGAUGACUUUAUUGAAGGAAUAGAAGCGGAUGCCGAUGAGAUUGAAAUUCAUCAAGUGGAUAACAAUAACAUUGGCAGUGAGCUAAGAGGUGGCAAAUCUAGAAAAGAUGCCAAAGAUUUGGCCUUUCAAUUGCUGGCUACCAGGUUUUGAUUAUAUCUUAUGUUACUUAUGAAUAGAUUUGUACCUUCAAAUCAUUGUAAAUUCCAUUCUUAGUUGUUGCGGCAGUAGUAAAUUGCGAGCUAACUAUUAGGCUGGUUAGGCUGUAGGCCCAGUUGUCAAUUUCCAGGCUAAGAACUGAAGAGAUGAGACAGGAAAUCAGAUAAAUCCAUCUUGGCUACUCAAAGCAUGGCUACCAAAUUGUUAAUUUUUCCCCCAUAAGUGAAAUGAUGGGAGAGUGGUUUCCCCCACUCCAACUUGAUGUCCAAAGUUCAAAUCCAUGACCUCUCCCUGUUUGGAGAAGGCAGAUGCCACUAAGGGAACUGGCUCUUGGCUUUCAUAAAUUUGUUGAGAAUGCUCUGAGUAUGAUCAACUCCCUUUAGUACAUCACUGCCACUGACGUUUCUGACUUUUGAAAAAAUGCCCAAAGGAAGUUAAAAAAAAAAAAAUCUUUAGUUAACGUUUAAGUGAUGGCAGUAGUAUCUCCUCACGGCUCAUGCCACAGAAAAUUUUUAGAGGUUUUAGUUUUAAUUCCAGGCUCUGGCUACAGUAAAUAUACAGCAGUAGCAAUGACAAAGAAAUUGCAAGGGAAUAGAUUUCCUCCUGCUAUUGUUGAAGCUGUGGUCAAUGAUUUCAAGAGCAGGAACUGUUCAAGAAUGGAGUCAGCAAAUUUGAUGCUGAGAAAGCUGUAACUGGUUUUUGAGGAGUGUGCUUCUAGCAUUGAGCAAGAGUCAAGACUCGGUCUGUCAAAGGUGGCACUGGAUCACUUAUUUUCUCAGGCCUCAAAGCAGUGGCUCUGAAGUCAGGGUCUGCCCAUUGAUAAGCGGAAAUCAAGGAUUGGGUUCAAUUGGGGUGUUAUAAGCGUCAUCAUGAGAAAAUUAGAAUCCCAGGCUUCUUUGGAGAAGAAAUAAAAUGUACCUUCUGAUGCAAUUCUUCCUCGAAGGAUCAGCAUCUGUUUUGGUGGACAUUGAUUUCACACUAGUCCUCCGCUGCCCUAAAAAUAAUGUCAUUGGAAUCAUCUUAAAUUUCGGAGGGCGCAAUGCAGUUCACCUACAUGUAUUACUGGUCGCGCAAUGGGACUGCAAAAGGAGUCACUCAAGCUGUUCAUUCUGCCAAUGUUGGAUCACAAAGCCAAGGCUUCCUCUUGUUUCAGUAAAUAACAUAACCAUGCGAGCCUGGUUACAGACGCAGGUGAUGUUGUCCACUUGGCAAGUUUAAUGGGAUGUUACUAACCAUAUCUGAGUGAGUGGGUUUUUUCUCUCCUCAUUUAAUGUUCUGUAUUUUAAGUUCGUUGAUUUGCAGUUGUAGAAAUCACUGUGUCUUUGUUUAUCUUGGACAUUUUGCAAUGUCUACACAAGAUCCCCCUCCAGUGAGCAUGGACUUCUAGUCUUUUUUUUUUUUUUUUUUUUUUUUUUUCCUCAGGAAACUCAUUCCUGUGUAAAUUUGCGAUGUAUCAAAUACCUACAGGAAUCCUGAAAAUUCAAUGAUCUUGGCCAGCCUAAUUUUUGCUCA